rnacentral:rRNA from 1 species
UACAGAGGUCUCAAGCGUUGUUCGGAUUCAUUGGGCGUAAAGGGUGCGUAGGCGGCGCGGUAAGUCGGAUGUGAAAUCCCGGGGCUCAACCCUGGAACUGCAUUCGAUACUGCCUUGCUCGAGGACUGGAGAGGAGACUGGAAUUUACGGUGUAGCGGUGAAAUGCGUAGAUAUCGUAAGGAAGACCAGUGGCGAAGGCGGGUCUCUGGACAGUUCCUGACGCUGAGGCACGAAGGUCAGGGGAGCAAACGGG